CACGUAGGGUGCGAGCGUUGUCCGGAAUUAUUGGGCGUAAAGAGCUUGUAGGCGGUUUGUCGCGUCCGCCGUGAAAGUCCAGGGCUCAACCCUGGAAUGCCGGUGGAAACUGUCGGGCUGGAGUCCGGAAGAGGCGAGUGGAAUUCCUGGUGUAGCGGUGAAAUGCGCAGAUAUCAGGAGGAACACCAAUGGCGAAGGCAGCUCGCUGGGACGGUACUGACGCUGAGACGCGAAAGCGUGGGGAGCAAACAGG
rnacentral:rRNA from 1 species